rnacentral:tRNA from 1 species
UUCCUGGUGGUCCAGUGGUUAAGACUCUGCACUUCCAAUGCAGUGUGCUCGGGUUCAAUCUCUGGUUGGGGAG